UACGAAGGGGGCUAGCGUUGCUCGGAAUCACUGGGCGUAAAGGGUGCGCAGGCGGGUCUUUAAGUCAGGGGGGAAAUCCUGGAGCUCAACUCCAGAACUGCCUUUGAUACUGAGGAUCUUGAGUUCGGGAGAGGUGAGUGGAACUGCGAGUGUAGAGGUGAAAUUCGUAGAUAUUCGCAAGAACACCAGUGGCGAAGGCGGCUCACUGGCCCGAUACUGACGCUGAGGCACGAAAGCGUGGGGAGCAAACAGG
rnacentral:rRNA from 1 species